CUGCAAGGAUUUCAACAAAAGCUGGCCAUGGUGCCUCCACUCUGCUCCACUCUCCAUUCCAUCCCCCUGAGCAGAUCCUGCUUCAUAUUACCCAGUUGCUCAGGAACUCAUUUACCAGCGGGAUGGGUUUUCAUGGACAGAGGUGUGACGAGCUGGGCUGCCACUGGUUGCAGUGGCAUUACCGAGUGUGUUUCAAGACAACAGCAGCUGGAAACCCCGUUCCCCACUGCUGGAGCAGAGUGACCUGCAAAGGGAGGCUGGUGCACAGAGAAGGGGCUCCCACAGCCACUGACUUCCUGUCAGUACAGUCUUGGAAGGGAAAAGUAGCAAGGGCAGGCUGUGCUGAGCUCCCUCUCCCAUGCCCUGCCCUUCUUACAUGACCAAGGUGCAGGAAGAGUCACUCUGGCUGCCCUCCUCCUUCUCCUGGUUCCUCUUGGCUGUUGGCACAUCCUGGGAAGAGGAAGCUGUGGUGGGAGGAAGACUUGGUUCAGAGGCUGACAGCAGACCGGGCUAGACCAGGCAGUGGGAAGAGGUGUGAGGAGAAGCACAGGAGAGAAGAGGCCCAGGCUAACAGUCCAGGUUGAGAUGUUCAGCCAUCCAUUUGAACACUUCAUCCUGCUGCCCACACCUGACACUCUGCUUUGGCCUCCACGCUUCAAUUACCUAUGUCUUUGCUGAACAGCACCUAAGGGAGGAAGUCAGUGAUGCAGACUUUGCUGACAAGCCAGGGACCUCAUGUCAGCAACUUCUGCUGCUGUCUGCACCUGUCCCUGUGCACAGAAAAGAGAAGAAUUGGUUGGCCAUGAGCAACGCAAAACUUCAAGGCUCUGGGCUCUUGCCAGAGGAGCAGCCACUGUCCUCAGAGAAACUUUAACAUUUCAACAUGUAUUUUUGUUCACUUCAAUGAAAUGAAAAAAUAAAAUACUGAAAGGUUUUGUGUAACAAGGUAGUCCAAACUGUUUUGGUUAGGGAUAGUUGAAACAUAAAGUUUAUUUUAUAGCAUGACAGUUUAUAUAAAGUGAAGAAAAUGGAAUCCAGCAUAAUAAAACUACUUGAAAUAAAACA